rnacentral:rRNA from 1 species
AUUGAACGCUAGCGGCAUGCUUUACACAUGCAAGUCGAACGGCAGCAUGAUUUGUAGCAAUACAAAUUGAUGGCGAGUGGCGAACGGGUGAGUAAUGCAUCGGAACAUACCUUAUUGUGGGGGACAACUACGCGAAAGCGUAGCUAAUACCGCAUAAGAUCCAAGGAUGAAAGCAGGGUAUUCGCCAGACACUUGUGCACUAAGCGUGGCCGAUGUUAGAUUAGCUAGUUGGUGGGGUAAAGGCCCACCAAGGCGACGAUCUAUAGCUGGUCUGAGAGGACGACCAGCCACACUGGAACUGAGACACGGUCCAGACUCCUACGGGAGGCAGCAGUGGGGAAUGUUGGACAAUGGGCGCAAGCCUGAUCCAGCAAUGCCGCGUGCAGGAAGAAGGCCUUCGGGUUGUAAACUGCUUUUGUACGGAACGAAAAGGCUCUGGCUAAUACCUGGGGCUCAUGACGGUACCGUAAGAAUAAGCACCGGCUAACUACGUGCCAGCAGCCGCGGUAAAAC